CCUACGGGGGGCAGCAGUAGGGAAUCUUCCGCAAUGGGCGAAAGCCUGACGGAGCAACGCCGCGUGAGUGAUGAAGGUCUUCGGAUCGUAAAACUCUGUUGUUAGGGAAGAACAAAUUUGUUAGUAACUGAACAAGUCUUGACGGUACCUAACCAGAAAGCCACGGCUAACUACGUGCCAGCAGCCGCGGUAAUACGUAGGUGGCAAGCGUUAUCCGGAAUUAUUGGGCGUAAAGCGCGCGUAGGCGGUUUCUUAAGUCUGAUGUGAAAGCCCACGGCUC
rnacentral:rRNA from 1 species